CCUACGGGAGGCUGCAGUGGGGAAUAUUGGACAAUGGGGGCAACCCUGAUCCAGCCAUGCCGCGUGUGUGAAGAAGGCCCUCGGGUUGUAAAGCACUUUCAGUGAGGAAGAACGCCUGGUGGUUAAUACCCAUCAGGAAAGACAUCACUCACAGAAGAAGCACCGGCUAACUCCGUGCCAGCAGCCGCGGUAAUACGGAGGGUGCGAGCGUUAAUCGGAAUUACUGGGCGUAAAGCGCGCGUAGGUGGCUUGAUAAGCCGGUUGUGAAAGCCCCGGGCUCAACCUGGGAACGGCAUCCGGAACUGUCAAGCUAGGGUGCAGGAGAGGAAGGUAGAAUUCCCGGUGUAGCGGUGAAAUGCGUAGAGAUCGGGAGGAAUACCAGUGGCGAAGGCGGCCUUCUGGACUGACACUGACACUGAGGUGCGAAAGCGUGGGUAGCAAACAGGAUUAGAUACCCGGGUAGUC
rnacentral:rRNA from 1 species